AAUGAACGUUGGCGGCGUGGAUUAGGCAUGCAAGUCGAGCGAGAACCGUAGCAAUACGGGGACAGCGGCGAAAGGGAGAGUAAUGCGUGGAUACCUGCCCUCGGGUCCGGGAUAGCUGCGGGAAACUGCAGGUAAUACCGGAUGACAUCCCCGGAUCAAAGGUGUGAUUCCGCCCGGGGAGGGGUCCGCGUCCUAUUAGCUAGUUGGCGAGGUAACGGCUCACCAAGGCGAAGAUGGGUACGGGUGUGAGAGCAUGCCCCCGCUCACUGGGACUGAGACACUGCCCAGACACCUACGGGUGGCAG
rnacentral:rRNA from 1 species